rnacentral:rRNA from 1 species
GAUGAACGCUGGCGGCGUGCCUAAUACAUGCAAGUCGAGCGAACGGACGAGAAGCUUGCUUCUCUGAUGUUAGCGGCGGACGGGUGAGUAACACGUGGAUAACCUACCUAUAAGACUGGGAUAACUUCGGGAAACCGGAGCUAAUACCGGAUAAUAUUUUGAACCGCAUGGUUCAAAAGUGAAAGACGGUCUUGCUGUCACUUAUAGAUGGAUCCGCGCUGCAUUAGCUAGUUGGUAAGGUAACAGCAUACCAAGGCAACGAUGCAUAGCCGACCUGAGAGGGUGAUCGGCCACACUGGAACUGAGACACGGUCCAGACUCCUACGGGAGGCAGCAGUAGGGAAUCUUCCGCAAUGGGCGAAAGCCUGACGGAGCAACGCCGCGUGAGUGAUGAAGGUCUUCGGAUCGUAAAACUCUGUUAUUAGGGAAGAACAUAUGUGUAAGUAACUGUGCACAUCUUGACGGUACCUAAUCAGAAAGCCACGGCUAACUACGUG